rnacentral:rRNA from 1 species
CGAGUCUUAACUGGGCGAAUGAGUUGCAGGGUAUAGACCCGAAACCCGGUGAUCUAGCCAUGGGCAGGUUGAAGGUUGGGUAACACUAACUGGAGGACCGAACCGACUAAUGUUGAAAAAUUAGCGGAUGACUUGUGGCUGGGGGUGAAAGGCCAAUCAAACCGGGAGAUAGCUGGUUCUCCCCGAAAGCUAUUUAGGUAGCGCCUCGUGAACUCAUCUUCGGGGGUAGAGCACUGUUUCGACUAGGGGGUCAUCCCGACUUACCAACUCGAUGCAAACUACGAAUACCGAAGAAUGUUAUCACGGGAGACACACGGCGGGUGCUAACGUUCGUCGUGAAGAGGGAAACAACCCAGACCGCCAGCUAAGGUCCCAAAGUCAUGGUUAAGUGGGAAACGAAGUGGGAAGGCUCAGACAGCCAGGAUGUUGGCUUAGAAGCAGCCAUCAUUUAAAGAAAGCGUAAUAGCUCACUGGUCGAGUCGGCCUGCGCGGAAGAUGUAACGGGGCUAAACCAU